UGUACACAAAUUAGACCCACGUGGUCUUUUUCUUGAAGACUCCGGCCGCCUUAAACGAUCACCGUCGAAGCUCUGUUUCUUUUCAUCUUACCGGCCACCAAAACUGGAGAUGUUACGGAAUGAGGAUCAAUCGAAACGACGUCUUAAACGCUGUCAUUAACAAUAGCUCCACCAUUACUUCCUUUCUGUGAAUCAUGGAGAAUCCUCAGCUAUAAAAAGGAGUCAAAAGAGAACUGACCUACGUGAAGAAGCUUCGGCAAUAUAUUGUCUACAGGAGAUGACAAUAAUCUGUACAUGAAGCUAAGCGUUAGAAUCACAACCCAAAUACCCAAAACCGAAUCAGUAGGACAUUUUGUACAAACUUAACCAAAAAGUCGAACAUAUUUUACAAAAUGACAUUGGAAAAUAUUAAGGAGAACUUAUAGUCGGCUUUCUUAAAUUCACCAGUAUACAUUGAUUGGUGGUGCAAAAUGGUUCAUUUUUUUUGUCGUCAAAUGGUUCAUAUCUUGGUCUUAUAGCAAAUGAGUAACAGAGUAAGUUAUAAUUUUUUAAGCAAAUUACACUUUUCGACUCUUAUACCCAAUAAUGAGGGUCUCGCUAUUAUAACUCUGAUCACCAUGUUUAACAUGAGAUUGAGUGUUUCGAGUUGUUCUUAUUAUACUUUGUCUAAACAUUAAUCAUUCAUCGCCAUUUACAUAAAAUAUCAAAACACAUACGACCCCACAAUAAACGACAUAUACAUACUUUUACAUUUUAAUAUUUAAUCAGUAACGUAACAAACGAUAGCAAAGGCUUUAGUUUUCAGGUUAUAAUUACGUAGCGGUUUCUACCUUGCCUCUUCGCCUCUUAACCCUUCUCUUGCCUUUUAGACUAUAUAAAAACUCUCGGCCUCACUUGAGAACAUAUUCAUCUGCACGCACCUAGGUGAAGCAUAGUUUGCUAUUUGACGUACCAACACCCAAUUCCAUGGUGAAGAAGCCUCCUUGGACCAACCGGCUUGAAAGCAUACUCAAGUAAAAGAAACACUAUACAAAACUAAAAUAAAUCAUCUACAAUCACCGGAAAUAAUUAUAACACACAACGCAAUCAAACAAACAUGGCAAUACUAUAAAAUAAAGUACACUAAAUAUUAUACCAACUUUACAUAAAAACAUGUGAAAGCCAAAUCAAUAGGAAAAAAAUAAUUAACAACAGUAACAAAAUAUGAGUUACUCUUACUUUAUAUUUUCUUCAAUGUCGAAUUGAAAAAGAAAUCAAAUAGGAAAAAAUUAAAU